rnacentral:lncRNA from 1 species
CACCACAGAGCCCUCGGCCGAGCGGCCGCUAACACCGUCCCGCCUCGAGACCGUCACGGCGCCGCGACCCCGCGGAGACGGCCUCCGGGCGCCCGGCCGCUCGGGACGUCUCCCCCUGUCCCUCCUCGUCCCAGCGCGCCCGAGCCCGCCCCCGGUCCCACGGCCCCGCCGAGCUACCUGGAUCCGCUUCUUGUGUCGCCUGCGUUCCGCCAUGUUGGCCGCUCCGCCCGGUUCCUUCUGACGUGGAGCGAGUCGGGGAGGGGGGCUGCUGAGAUCUCGCGAGAGCGCGGCGGCUCGCGGCCCGUUAUGUAACCCGCCGCGGGCUCUGGGCUGGGGGCGGCCUCCGUGGUCUUCCCGCCGUUCGUGCGGUGGCGGACGACGGAGGCUGCUUCUGCUUCUGGUCCCGGAGGCCGGCGCCAAGUGA